rnacentral:lncRNA from 1 species
AUGUACUGUAGUAAAUGUGUUUAUGUAGUGCUUAACACACCUGUAAGCUACAGUACAUCAUCCAAACAAAACUGUGCUGCCUCCAAACCACUCCCUUCUGUAAUAUUCCUUCAUAUCUACGGCGUCAAAAAGAAGGCGCGCACAUUUAAUGCUGCGGGCUUGUUGAUGCAGUUGAUGCAAAACACCUUUUGUCCUCGCCGAUUCUCUUGCGCUGCCACCAUGUCUCGGAUCAUUAUCGUUACACUCCUGCUCUUGGUUCUGAGUGACUUCUGCCACAACACAGUUUCAGGUGAUCAAGCUUCUUUGACCAGAGGCUACUUUCGCAAGUGUGGGUGCAAAGUUCAUCGUAAUAGAAUAUUAUGUGAUGCAAAGAAUGAGACCAGGAAGAGGUGCCUCUGCUCCCAAGCAACAUCAGACACAUUUCCAAAGUUUCACAAGUUCUGCAGAUCGUUGCAUCAAAGCCCGCCCCUGUCCUUGCUGUGA